UAAUUCCAGCUCCAAUAGCGUAUAUUAAAGUUGUUGUGGUUAAAAAGCUCGUAGUUGACCCUUGGGCCUGGCUGGCCGGUCCGCCUCACCGCGUGCACUGGUCCGGCCGGGCCUUUCCCUCUGCGGAACCCCAUGCCCUUCACUGGGUGUGGCGGGGAAACAGGACUUUUACUUUGAAAAAAUUAGAGUGCUCAAGGCAGGCCUAUGCUCGAAUACAUUAGCAUGGAAUAAUAGAAUAGGACGUGUGGUUCUAUUUUGUUGGUUUCUAGGACCGCCGUAAUGAUUAAUAGGGACAGUCGGGGGCAUCAGUAUUCAAUUGUCAGAGGUGAAAUUCUUGGAUUUAUUGAAGACUAACUACUGCGAAAGCAUUUGCCAAGGAUGUUUUCAUUAAUCAGGAACGAAAGUUAGGGGAUCGAAGACGAUCAGAUACCGUCGUAGUCUUAACCAUAAACUAUGCCGACUAGGGAUCGGACGAUGUUACAUUUUUGACGCGUUCGGCACCUUACGAGAAAUCAAAGUGCUUGGGCUCCAGGGGGAGUAUGGUCGCAAGGCUGAAACUUAAGAAAUUGACGGAAGGGCACCACCAGGGGUGGAGCCUGCGGCUUAAUUUGACUCAACACGGGAAACUCACCAGGUCCAGACACAAUGAGGAUUGACAGAUUGAGAGCUCUUUCUUGAUUUGUGGGUGGUGGUGCAUGGCCGUUCUUAAUUGGUGGAGUGAUUUGUCUGCUUAAUUGCAUAACGAACGAGACCUUAACCUGCUAAAUAGCCCGUAUUGCUUUUGGCAAGUCCCCGGCUCUUAGAGGGACUAUCGGCUUAAGCCCA
rnacentral:rRNA from 1 species